UUAGUUUUUUUAAAGUUAUAUUUGUUUAAUUAAUUUUAUCAAAAAAAUGAAAGAAAUAAAUAUCUUUUCUCACCCAUUCAAUAAUGGACGUGUGUCCUCACUAGUUUUGAAAAAAUUUCUCUCCUCAUAACAAUCUCUGCCAGCUAGCAACAGAGAGCAUCUUAUCCAAACUUUUCCUCAUGAAAAAAUGACAAAAAGGAGAAUGGAAAAGGACCACUCACAUUGGAUACCUCCUCAUUCUCUCCAACACUCGUCUGACACCUCUCAUCAAUUCACAAUUCCACCCAUUGUAUUUCUGUCUCAUUAGCCAACACAUGACCCACACGAAAAUAAAUAAAAUAAAUUAAUACUAUCCUCCCUUAUUGAAUGCAGUGGAAAAAACGCAGAACAAGUUUCUUUGGGGAGGGAGAGAAACAACUUUUUUUAAAAAAAACUUUUACUUUAUUCUAUUUCAACUCACACAUUUCCUUCCACUUUUCAAAAGACCUACUCUUUUUUCCCUUUCAUGGUUUGCUUUCUUCAGACGGUAACAAACUGCAUCUUCAAUACAACCUUAACAAACCUCCACCAUAGGCACCGGCUCACCUCCGCCUCCUUCCAUACAACCACAUUCUAACCCACCUCCAAAUCACUACGUACAACCACCUCCGAAGCUUCCUAAUCCAACACCCUCCAUUCUGGAAACCGCGUACGAAAUCACCACCAAACUUCGCCUUCUGCCGGUUUGUUUCUUGUUCCUUUCCCAUGUUUGCAUUUUUGUAUCACUCUGUAUCGUCGUUUUCAUAUAUUUGUUGAGAGAGAGAGAGCAUUUUGAUUUCGACUUGAAGUUGUUGUUUUUCUUCGUUUUCCGGCAUUGGGAUUUGAUUUCGUUAAGAAACUCAAACUAAUAUUUUUUUUCUUUUUCUUUUUCUUUUUAUCUUAUUAUUUAUUUUAUUUCUAAUAUGUUUUAUGAAUUAUUAUAUGUUAUUAUUAUUAUUAUUAUAAAUUUUAGUUAAGAUUAGAUUUUUUAUUCUUUAUAUUAAAAUUUAUUAAUCAUUUUGCAUUUGGAAAUAUUUUUGUGGUUUGUAAAUAGUUCAUUAUUGUGUUAGAAUGAAGAAGAUAAACUUGAAAAAACAUGUUACUGCACUACUGCACUACUGCUACUGCAUUACUGCUACUAUGAUUCUUGUUGGUUUUUUUUAUUUCAUCAUAUUGUUUAUAUUAUAUUUUCUGUCUGUUAUAAAAGUUAGAAAAGUAGAUCUGGUAGAGUGGCAAGAGCUUUAGAUUGUAAUGCUUAGGUCCCAAGUUCAAUUCCUGCUAGGCUACAUUUAUAGUCUUUGUUAAUUUUUUUUUUCUCUUCAUGUUUCUAUUUUUCUAAUAAAAUUCAUACUAUACAUUAAUGGGUGCAAUUGACUUUCCACUAGGUCAUGGUUCGACCCUUGUACAUCCCACUUUCUAUUUAUUUCAUUUUUUAUGUUAUUUUAUUUUUAAUUCUUUUUAUAUUUUUAUUCUCAUUUUUUCGAUACUUGUUGAUUUUAAUGUUUGUCUUUAAUUUAUUUUAUUGAUUAAACAUCGAGUUUCAAUCUCUGGAUUCAACAGUUCCCAUGUUGUUAUUCCAUGAUUAUUUCAUCGAUAUAUUGAUAGUAUUUCGCCGCGUUUGAUCAAUCUCAUAUGACAUUUCGAUUGUUGUCAAUAUGCGCAAACCGGCUUUAAGCACAUUAUAUAGGUUUUUGUUUGUUUGUUUGUUUGUUGCUCAAUUUCUACCCGCCUUGCACGUCUUUGCGUUAUGUGACCUUGAUUCGCAUCUUCGCAUCCCGAUUUUAAUCCGUGUAAAUCCCGAUUUUACUCUUUUUGAUUCGAUUUUUGAUUAUUUUGUAAAAUAUAAUUUUGUAUUUGUUGCUUUCCUCACAUGGCUUACUCUUGGGCCUUCUUACAAUGAGCUCGUUACCUGGAUGGAAUGUCCAGUCGUAAUCCCGAAUAUUAGGCUCAAGCUGUAAGAGCUUGCAAGCCGUUAAUAUUCGUCUUCUCUUUAACACUUUAAUAUUCAAAAAUCAUCUUCUUAAUAAAGUUGGAAGAAAAAGAUUACCUGGAAGGAAUAUCCAGUUGUAAUCCCGAAUAUUAGGCUCAAGCUGUAAGAGCUUGCAAGCCAUAAAUAUUCGUCUUCUCUCCAAAACACCUGUAAAUAUCUCAAACCAUCUUCUUAAUAAAGUUGGAAGAAAAAGAUUACCUGGAGGGAAUAUCCAGUUGUAAUCCCGAAUAUUAGGCUCAAGCUGUAAGAUCUUGCAAGCCAUAAAUAUUCGUCUUCCCUCCAAAACAUUCAUAAAUAUUCAAAUCAUUUUCUUAGCAAUAUUGGAAAGAAACAGACUGCCUGGGUGGAAUGUCUAGACGUAGUCCCGAGUAUUAGACCCAAGCUGUAAGAGCUUGUAGGUCACAAGUACUCGUCUUUCAAACUUCAAAAUACCUAAUUCAUACCUUAAUACUUUUUUAAUAAAGAUGGAAAUGGAACAUGGUGUAUACCGUGCACUCCUGAGGCUAGGAUUCGAGAUGUAUAUCUCGCUCAUCCAAGUUCUCGCCAUCACUCAAAAUACAUCCAACCAAUCAAACACUUUUCUCGCCGCCGUGCGAUUAAUCAAAAACCUUUUUCAUAAACGAAAGGUAUCUUGUCUUUAGUGAUAUAAAACAAUGUUUCGGCCACGAUUGUUGAGUCGAGAUAAGUGACGCUUUUCCGAAUGUAGAUUUAUAAAUCUGUUCGAUGUGUGGUAUGCGUCCACUCCUCAUCUGUUUUGGGUAAAACAAUGUUUUCGUCGAUUAAUACAAUAUAGCUUUCGCUAAAAUCGACCAACAAACAAACAUUUUUCUACCCAGAACUACGUAAGCCUUGAUUUCUCUUUUGAGAUACGUAGGAGCGGGAUUUUUAAAUCUUGUCAGGCCCAUUAAUAAAAAAACUUAGGU